rnacentral:rRNA from 1 species
GAUGAACGCUAGCGGCAGGCCUAAUACAUGCAAGUCAAGGGGUAGCAAUACACCGGCGGACGGGUGCGUAACGCGUACACAACGUACCUCAGAGCGGGGGAUAGCAUUGGGAAACUGGUGGUAAAACCCCAUGGUGUUGUUGAAUGGCAUCAUUUAACAACUAAAGGUUACACUCUGAGAUCGGUGUGCGGUCUGAUUAGCUAGUUGGUGGGGUAACGGCCCACCAAGGCGACGAUCAGUAGGGGGUGUGAGAGCAUGACCCCCCCACAAUGGGUACUGAGACACGGACCCAACUCCUACGGGAGGCAGCAGUAAGGGAAUAUUGGUCAAUGGACGCAAGUCUGAACCAGCCAUGCCGCGUGAAGGAUUAAGGUCCUCUGGAUUGUAAACUUCUUUAUCUGGGACGAAAAAAGGCGAAUUCUUCGUCACUUGACGGUACCAGAUGAAUAGCA